AUUUGUCCAGUGUAAAAGUGGCAGAAGAUUUAAUAUUCAUACAACAGCAUUCAGUAGGAUAGUUCUGAGACUACCGUUUAAAGAUAGUAGACCUGUUCUUUGUUUUUGGACCCUCUCAGAUUUUGCUGUUAGCAUUAGCGUCCAGGACCAAUCUGGAUUUUUACUACACUAAGAAGACACCAGGAGAGUUAUCUACUACAGAAAACAGCUCCCUUUGAAGAAGAAACAGGAGCUGGCAAGACGCUGCCUCCUUUCUCUCCAAGACGCUCUGAAGACAGGCAAAACCAUAUCUUAAAGAAAGAAAAUAUGUGAACUCAGAUGCAGGUUUGUAAGGCCUGAACAGGUUAGUACUUUUCCUCUUAUAAUAUCUUGUUUCUUAGUCUUGUGUUUCUUAACUUUAGUUUUAAAUAAUGUUUUAAAUUUAAAUACAUCAUACUGCUUUUGUCAGUCCUUGACUGAACAGAUACACACUAUGAGCCUU